UACGAAGGGGGCUAGCGUUGCUCGGAAUCACUGGGCGUAAAGCGCACGUAGGCGGCUCUUUAAGUCGGUGGUGAAAUCCUGGAGCUCAACUCCAGAACUGCCUCCGAUACUGAGGGUCUUCGAGUCCGGGAGAGGUGAGUGGAACUGCGAGUGUAGAGGUGAAAUUCGUAGAUAUUCGCAAGAACACCAGUGGCGAAGGCGGCUCACUGGCCCGGUACUGACGCUGAGGUGCGAAAGCGUGGGGAGCAAACAGG
rnacentral:rRNA from 1 species